rnacentral:rRNA from 1 species
ACGAACGCUGGCGGUGUGCUUAACCCAUGCAAGUCGAACGGAAAGGCCCUGCUUUUGUGGGGUGCUCGAGUGGCGAACGGGUGAGUAACACGUGAGUAACCUGCCCUUGACUUUGGGAUAACUUCAGGAAACUGGGGCUAAUACCGGAUAGGAGCUCCUGCUGCAUGGUGGGGGUUGGAAAGUUUCGGCGGUUGGGGAUGGACUCGCGGCUUAUCAGCUUGUUGGUGGGGUAGUGGCUUACCAAGGCUUUGACGGGUAGCCGGCCUGAGAGGGUGACCGGCCACAUUGGGACUGAGAUACGGCCCAGACUCCUACGGGAGGCAGCAGUGGGGAAUAUUGCACAAUGGGCGGAAGCCUGAUGCAGCAACGCCGCGUGCGGGAUGACGGCCUUCGGGUUGUAAACCGCUUUCGCCUGUGACGAAGCGUGAGUGACGGUAAUGGGUAAAGAAGCACCGGCUAACUACGUG